CCUACGGGAGGCAGCAGUGGGGAAUAUUGCACAAUGGGGGAAACCCUGAUGCAGCGACGCCGCGUGAAGGAAGAAGUAUUUCGGUAUGUAAACUUCUAUCAGCAGGGAAGAAAAUGACGGUACCUGACUAAGAAGCCCCGGCUAACUACGUGCCAGAAGCCGCGGUAAUACGUAGGGGGCAAGCGUUAUCCGGAUUUACUGGGGGUAAAGGGAGCGUAGGCGGUUUAGAAAGUCAGAAGUGAAAGCCCGGGGGUCAACUCCGGGACUGCUUUUGAAACUGUUGAACUAGAUUUCAGGAGAGGUAAGUGGAAUUCCUAGUGUAGCGGUGAAAUGCAUAGAUAUUAGGAGGAACACCAGUGGCGAAGGCGGCUUACUGGACUGUAAAUGACGCUGAGGCUCGAAAGCGUGGGGAGCAAACAGGAUUAGAUACCCCUGUAGUC
rnacentral:rRNA from 1 species